GAAGGACCUUAAGUGAAGACUUACUACACCUACAAUCCUCCAGCCCCCUGGGCACGGCAGAAGGGGAAACUAUGGCUCAGAGAAAUUGAGUGACCUUCUCAAUGUCAUAUAGAAGGAAAGUGUCAAAACCUGGAUUUGGAGACCUGGGAAAGAUGGGAAGAACUGUCUGUUGGGUGUAGCGGGAAGCAGGACCUGAUGCUGGAAGGGAGAAAAGAUAACCAUGCUAAAUGAAGAAAACUGACCACAAGAAUUCCAGUCCAACAGAAAAUAUAAGUGAAUAGGAUUAUUUACUUUCCAACAUCAAAAGGAGAGAAAUAUUUUGCUGUUCCACACAAACGAGUUGUUUCAUGGAGGAGCUGUGAUGCAUAUUUGGAGCUGGGAAGUGGAUAUCCCACCAGACACAUCUUUUCUUCUUGUUUCUUAAAACCUCCUAGUUAAAUUUCUUGGCCAUUUCAGGAAGAAAUCACAUAAAUUAUCAUUUUUUAAAUUUUAGCAUUCAUAAAUUCAAAUUUUUCUUAUUUUAUCGCAUUGGAUAGAAAGUCCAUUCUUUUUAUUCAUUGGAAGUUCCUGUCACCCUACAUGCUGAAAAUAUUUAUAUAGUUAGGAAUUCUCUGGAACUACAAUACUACUGGCUCACAUUUACAUAGCUUCUUUCAGUUCUCAAAAAUCCAUUAACAUGUCUUACCUCAUUUUUUUCUAACAAGUCUGUGAUACAGGAAGGUUUUAUUUUUUCCUCAUUUAAAAUUUGGAAAAAAUAGAUUUUAAAUAAUUCCUACAAGGUACUGAAGCUAGUAAUUAAACAAACAGAACAGACUAUAAUUCAGAUUUUCAGUUUCUAGGCCAGAGUCUAAUACAGCAGAUCAGCUAGCUUCCUCCUAUUAUAAAAAUCUUUUGGAAAAUACUCACAUUUUGGGUAUACUAAAAUAUUUCUCAUAGACAAUUGCCUUAUAUGAGAUGUUAUUAGGAAACUAUUACUCGUUAAAUAUCAUGCACAUCUGUUUCAUUGGACAGUAUGUAAAAUAACUAAAUUACUGCAAGUUGACAUCAAUUCAGAAAUUACAAUUACAGACCAAAGACUGAGGUACUGGGAUAUAAGAAUGUGCAAGACACAAGCAAUGCAUUAGUGAGAAUAGGUUAGAUUUUGCUGCUUUUAAGACCCCACAUUCUUGUGGCUUAAAAUUUUACCUCUCUAUAAAACAGCAUGACCCAUUUUGGUGAACGGGGGUGUGUUGUGUUCAUUAUAGUAACUUAGAAAUCUCUGUGUGUGUGCGCGCGCGCGUGUGUGUGUGUGUGUGUGUGUAUUUCAACGUACAUUUUAGAUACAGGGGUAGAUGUGCAAGUUUGUUACAUGAGAAUAUUGUGUGAUGCUGGGGUUUGGAGUUCAGAUCCUGUCUCCCUGGUAGUGAGCACAAUUAACAUUUUUACUUGUUUUUUCAACAAUCUGUGUGGCAGAGGAAAGGAAUAUAACAUAUUAACCUCUGGUUCUUAAAGUCUCAGGAUAUAAAUAGCACAGAUCUCAAUGCUAUACCUAAUUUGAAAAGGGGUAGAGAAGUGCAAUUCUACCAUGUGCUUGGGAGGAGGGGGCCAGAAUAUUUAUAAAGAGCCCUAAUGAUUCUCAAAAUCUUUGUCCUCAGCUAUAUAUAAUAUGUUGAAGAAGCUAGAAAAAGUAAAUAUAUAAUUGUAGUAAUUACAAUAUAAUAUGAUAUAUUGAACAAAAUAAAUGUGGGGACAAAGCAUUUUGGAGGAACAGAAUGCAAUAACUAAGUGUGCUUGGAGAAGAUAGAAAAUACUUUUUUAGGAGAAAAUGCCAUGUGAAUUGACCUAUAAAGAUAAAUUUACUGGAUAGAAAAAACAGGAGAGUGGUGCUGUUACUUUCAAUGGCAAAAACCACAGUUACUUUUGCACCAACCUAGCUUAUAAACCUUGUAUUAAGUUCCUUAGAGAAAUAGUCACUUAAACAGGCAUAAAGGUGGGGAGUUUCAGUGGGCUAAUCACAUUAAGUUACAUGACUUUAGAUAAAUUAUUUUACCUCUCUAUACUUCAAGUUUCAUGACAAUUUAAGGGAAUUGGAUUAAGAUUCUCUUAAGCUCUAAUAGUCUAUAUUUGAAUUAUUUAUUUUGGAAACUUAUUGGUAAUUUGCAGUUCUAAUACUUUGUCAAGCAUUCCAUGUCAAAGAAGAGCAGAUGGCAGGGAUGGCAAAUGGUUUUUCACUUUGCAUACCAACUCUGAUUUUUUAGAAGGGCCUCUCUAGAGCAAUCUGCUGAGUGAGAGACAGUCUGAGAAAGAAUUAUUAUGAAAUUUGCAUUUUAGAUUGAAAUAUAUAGGUAAAAUAAGAUCCCAGUAUAAAAAUUUUUUGCAUCUGUCCAGUGGAAAAUUCCUUUUCAGAAGUAAGCUACCAUGCAAAUGUAUUUUUCUGAAACAUUUUUUCACCUUAAUGUUUAUAACCAUCUACUCUUACCAAGUCCUUAGAAAUUCAAGACUUGUGUUGUUGAUUACAACUAAAUCAACUGUGGAGGGAAAUAAGUGAAAAAAAAAACUGGGAUGAGACGUGAAAUAGGUGGCUAAAAAUAGUAUAUAACAGUGGAAUAUUGGAAUAUCUAGUUUUAAUUGCCUCAGCCUAAUACUAAUUAUUUCAAUCUAGUUUGUGACAGAAAUCUAAUAAAGGAUACAGAAUAUUUUAAUUAACCUAUCAGAGUAAAAACUUGCUUAAAUUAUUCUUCAAGUAUUGGUUAUAAAUAGAUAAUGUUUAGUUAUGUUGACAUAGGUGAGAUAGCUAUAUCUAGAAAUGAUUGAACAUAAUUAAUAAUUAUAUGCCAUAAUUAUAUCCAACUUGAUUUUACAUUUUUCAAGACUUUGCAUUCUCUUCUGCUCUUUAUACUUAACAUAAUCACCAUACCUGAUUCCUACACAGCUUAGGAAAAUUAAUCAGCAUACUCUCUAUCAUUAUAUGAAAGUAAAAUGCAUUUGGAUGUUUGUUAUUGUUUUAUUUUCUUAUUGUUUACCUGGAUUCUUUGUUUGUUCUGCCAUUUUAUGGUAUCUACCAAUACCUCCAUAACCACUUGUAUUUAAGGAUAACCCUUCUUGACACCAAUGUAUUUAGAUUUAUGCAGUAAAUCACUGUGAUAUAUCAUUUAUACAUAUUACUUCUCCAAUUCUCCUAACAAUUUUUUUGCUGUUAAUCUGUGAGGAAUAAAAAGGAUUUUUAUUAUUAUUAUUAUUGUUCUUGUAAAAAUGAGAAAACUAAAGCUUAGAUAAAUUAAAUAAAUAAUUUAGUGUUAUCCAGUUUAUGUGAUUUUGGAUUUAAAACAAGGUUUACCAACUUAUAUGACAUUCAUUCUUAAUAUAGGAGAAAGUUAUUGCAAGUACACUCAUAGAGAAAAAUAUGGUAGACAGAGUAAAUCAGUGUAAAAAUGAAGAAACUUUAAAUGGCUAUUGGAGAUGUUUGCCAUUAAAUUAGGAUGUCUAAACUAUUCCCAACUGCCUCACAAGAAAUCUACUCAUUUUUAGUACUUUUAAACUAUUGCUAUGGACCAGCAUGAUUCAAUAUAAUAGCCACCAGCCACAGGUAGCUAUUUAAAUAUAAAUGUAAGAAUUGACAUAAAAUAAACUUAAAAAUUUAUAUCUCAGUUGCACUAACUACAUUUCAAAUGCUCACGUGCUCAGUAGCUAUAUGUGGCUGGUGCUUGUCACAUUGGACAGCACAGAUAUGUCCAUUAUUACAAAGGUUCUUAGCAUUUAUCUAGAGAAAUAUGUGAGUGAAUACUUAUUGGUCAUCACAUAUAUAACUUUAUGAUGUUUCAUAAGAUACAUCUACAUUUUCUACUUCUCACAUAUGAGAUUAUGGUUGAUUGGUGUACACUAGUCAUGGGUUCUAAUAUUACACAGAGUAGGGUACAAUAUAGGCCUUUAAUAGACAUUUGUUGUCACAUAAUCAAUUAAGACUCCAUAAAGUAGUUGACAGCUUUUUUAUUUUUAAUUCAUGGGACCUGGAUUUAAAUCCAAGCUAUUGCACUUAGUAUCACACAGCCUUUAACGGUUAUGCAUGUGUGUGUGUGUGUGUGUCUGUGUGUGUUUAAAAGUGCUUGAGAGAGUGGCCAAUAAUGCUUAGAAAACAAAACAUAAAAGCCAGUAAUUUUGGAUCAAGGGUACAAUGAUAACCCUUUUUUACAUUAUAUAACUCAUAACCUCAUAACUCUCAAUAACUUAAUGAAGGUUACUUGAAACACGAAUUCAAAGUUCUUCAAGUUAAAUACAUAGAAAUUCUAAGUUAAGGAAGCUAAUUCUUUACCAAUAUAUUUACUAAUUUCUCUGCUAACAAAUUUUUUAAAUUCAACUCCUUUCUUGUGGGUUUAAUAUUUUUCUUCCUUAAGAAAUCAGUUAAUGGAUCUUUUUAAUGUCAAAGAUAAAUUCACUCUCUCAAUCUUUUCUAGUCUUAAAAUGGCCUUAAGUAUUACAUUAUUGACUAAUACCUUAUUGUAACAAUCUCAGUUGACCAUUAUUUUCCUCCAGUACUUUGGAUAUAUCAAUCAAUAGUCUUGUACCAUAUAUUAUUGCUUAAGAGAAGCCUAUUAUCAAAUCUAUUUCCUUAUUAUUAGUACUGUGAAUUAGUCUUAAUAGUUAAAAUGUUCUAUUUUUUGACAUUACACAUUUUUACUAUGAGGCAUCUGGUGUGAAUUUGUUUUUUUUCUUCUCGGAAUUCAAUGUAAUUCUUUUAUAUUAGGAAUUAUGUCUUGUUCAAUUUUGAGAAUUCUUAGGCAUUCUAUAUUCAAAUAUAUAGGGACUUUUCAUUAUAUCUUUGGUGCCUCAUAAUUUUAUUCACAUUUUCUAUUUUUUUAUUUCUCUGAAUUACAUUCUGAUCCAUUUCUUCAGUUUUAACAUUUGUUUCAGUUAAUACUUCUAGAUCUAUAUACGGUUCAUCCUUUAAAUGACUAAUUUAGGCUAUUAUUUUUUUCAAAAACUAUUCAUCUUAAAGUUCCACUUGAUUACUGCUCAUAUUUCCUGACUGUUUUUCAUUCUAUUCUUGCUUGUUUCUAUUUUUUCUUUAGCUAUUUGAGCACUUUCAACUAUCUUUUACAGUUUAUUAGUUUUACUUAUAUUGUAAAUUCCCCUCUUUAUACAAUUGACUGAUUCUCUCUCAUUGUGGGUUGUUGCACAGUAUAUUUGUAACUUUUUACUGUGGUCUCAUCUUCAGAAGAUUUUCUUCUAUUGUUAUGUGUUUGUGCAUGCAUGUGUAUACACUUUCUACCCAGGAUUACUGAAGGAGAGUUUUUGAUUUGCCUCAGUUCAGGGCCCAAAGUCUUCAUUAGUUCUUGAUCACUGUUUAUGUUGACUUUUUAUCUAGUGACUAUGUAUAGAAUGAUCUAAAAAUUUAUUAACCAAGCAGUACACUUCUGAAAGUAAACAUGGCUUUAUAGCAGACAUAAACCAAGAUUGGCUUACAUCAGCUAGGACAUAUAAUUUUAUUCAUGCACCAUGAAAACAAUGGGAGUAUGAAUAUUAUAACCAUUUGUGAAACAUGCAUAGUAUAGUGAUUUUUGUUCCCUUAGGUGAUAAACGCUGGGACAAUGGAAAGUUCCCAUGAAGGUAUCUUCAGCCACUGAGAAGUUUUCAAAUCCAGUUACAUGGACUAGACAAGUUCUAGUCCAUUGACAAGUAUCUUUUGGUUUCAUGCAGGUAGUUCAUUUCCUGUUACCAGGAUUUGUUAUACAUUCUGAGAUUUACAUCCCUAGCUUCAGUUCUUAAAAGGCUUACGUCUAUCUCUUAUCAGCAAAUGAAUGAUUCUGCUUCACAUUCAACUCAUGUCUCUGCCCCUGGUUAUUGUCCUUAUUUGGAAUUUGUAGUUAUAUGAAACAUAAAGUUCCAUUUAAAAUUUUUAAAACUAAUUGUUAUUCAUCAUUAUUAUAUAUUUGCUUGGAAUAGAAGUAGGCCUGUUUUGUAUCAACUUAGUUCAUUAUAUUUGUAGUAUCAUUUUAGGUAGAUUUUUAAAUCUAAAAAUAUAACAAAAAUAUAAAUAAAUGUCUAAAAAUCUAAAUAUCUAAAAUAUCUAAAAAUCUAAAUAUAACAACUAUAGAUAAGUAUUCUAUUUUUAAUACACAUUUAUUUCUAUUUGUGUUCUCGUCAAAUAAUUCCAAUAAUUUUUUGUAAUGUAUUAACUAGUUCUCCAUCUCUGUCAUCUACAUUCUUCCCCUUUCUUGAUUUAUGCUUUUCCUCAAUAUGGUGCCAUUUCAGAUAUAAACCAAUAAUGGCAGAUUCUUUACAUAAAUAGAGGUCUAUGAUAUUGCUAAACAUCUGAAAGAGAGGAUGACCCAUAUCAGAAGUUAGCACACUAAUGCCUGUGCACUAAAUCCAGUUCGUUUAUUGAUUUUGUGUACCCUGUGAUCUAAGAAUUAUUUUUACCUUUUUAAAUAAUUUAAAAAAUCAAAAGAAUAAUUUUUUGACCCAUUAAUAAAAUAUGAAAUUCAAAUUUUGUUGUUUAUUUUAAAGUUGAAUUAAGCUAAGCCACACACAUUCAUUUAUGUAUUGUCGGGGUUUUGUGGUUGUUGCUGUUUUUUAAUAGAGACAGGGUCUCACUAUUUUACCCAGGCUGGUCUUGAACUCCUGAGCUCAAGCAAUUCUCCCACCUCAUUCCCCCAAAGUGUUGGGAUUAUAGGUGUGGGCCACCGCACCCAGCCAAUUUAUGUAUUGUCUAUUGCUGCUUUCACAUUACAAUGGCAGAGCUGAGUAUUUGUAACAAACAUCAGAUCCAUACGUUUAAAAUAAUGUCUUUACUUCACAAAAAUCUUGCUGAACCCCUGGCCUCUAUAAUUAAAUAAACAAGGUAAUGACAUAUUCAUUUUAAUCAUUUCAGAAUUUCUGUGAUUAACAUCAGUGGGUAGAUUUUAAAGGAAUUAGUAAGAUAAAUCUAAGUUUAUAUAACAUUUUGCUUUAGAGAUUGGCAGAAGGUAGGUGGUAUCAGAGUGAUGUUAUGUAAUUUAUCAGAACACAAAUAUUGGUACUCGCAAAAGGAAAAAUAAAAACAGGAAAUUGCACAUAAUGAAAGAAAAGUAAUGGUAGAAAUGUUAUAUUGUACUUGAAAGUUCAGGUUUAUUACAGAAGAAGUUUUCUAAUAAGAAUCAGCCUGUUAGAGCACAGAUAUAUAUAACAACAACAAAAAAGACUGACAUUGUGAAAAAAAAAUUCACCAUGUAAAAUCCUGAUACUUUGAAUCUUGUGACUUCAUAAAGUGCACACAGAUGAACAAAUUUGAAUGUAUCAAAUACAGUUCAACAAUAAUAGUUAUAACUAUCUUACUAAGAGAUGUAAGCACCAUAUGCUCAUCUAUGGAAAAGCUAACAGCAAUAAAAAAUAAAGAGAAAAUGGAUAUUAGCAAAGGCAACUAAAAGUUUUCUCUCCUAAGAGACAGAUGAGUUUCUAUUACAUAUCAAGGUUACUUUUGUAUCAGAAAAUAACUAAUUGAAACAACAACAACAAAAAUAAGUAUGAUAUAUAACUAAUAAAUAUUGUACAUAAUUAAUAUGCAUACUUCUAUAUCAUCAUUUAAUAGGAUACAAUUUAUGAGCACUAACACAUUUCAAAUAAUGAAUUUAAAAUUGCUAAGGUAGUUUUUAAAACCAUCUUUUAUUUAAAAAUCUGAAGAACAAAGCAAAGUGAAAACAUAUUCUUAUUUUAUGUGCUCUUGAAUUUACAAAGAUAUUUUUUAAAACAUUUAUUUAUCUAUGUUUAAAUUCCUGAGGAAAUGUACUUAUUGGCAGGUCCAUGGAAUCUGAGAAGAAAACUACCUUCCUUGACAAAUGUAUACUAUCAAUUGGAUCACUUGAGGUCAUCUCUGUAUCUGGAAUGGUAAGUCUGGGUAGGCAAAGUGCCUUUAAGUGAAUUCUACACUCAGAUAUGGGUAAAAUGAUCUAAAGAUUCCUAAGUCAGUUUGAAAAUAGAGGUUGGGAUGGAGGGAUUUCUGACUCCUUGUAGGAUCUGGGGCUCCCUGAUGCCAGAAGUAUCUCUCUGGUUUUGUGAAUUCUGGCUUCUAAAGAGAUAGCAUCUAAGUUCCCACUGCAACCUAGCUUCUCCCUUUAUCUUAGGUGUCAUACAAGAAGGGUCUUGGCGGUGGUCUGACCUGCCAUGGACUGUCCAUCUGCCCGGACUACAGCGAGACAAUUUUUCCAAGCUUCCAAGGAGCCAAGCUGAAGAAAGAGUGAAACAAUGGAGGCGCCUUUCUUUCUUGAUCUUGGGAGAAGGUAUUAAACUAGAACUCAGAAGAUCUGGGCUGCUACUUUCUAGUUCGUCACCUCAUGCAGGAUAUGUAGCUUUUGCAAAUCUUGACUUUCCAAAUUUCAAAUGAAGCUCGUGAUUUGUGUCUUGAGUACAUAGGGACUUGCUAUGAGCAUUAACAGAGAUUACGAAUGCAAAGCACUUUGCUUAUCAUUAAUUUUUUUUUCUUUUUUUUUUUUUUUUUUUGAGACUGAGUCUCUCUCUGUUGCCCAGGCUGGAGUGCAGUGGCACCAUCUCGGCUCACUGCAACCUUCGCUUCCCAGAUUCAAGCGAUUCUCCUGCCUCAGCCUUGCAAGUAGCUGGGACUACAGGUGCACACUACCACGCCCAGCUAAUUUUUGUAUUUUUAGUAGAGACAUUGGCUAGGAUGGUUUUGAUCUCUUGACCUCGUGAUGCACCUACCUAGGCCUCCCACAGGCGGGAGCCACCAAGCAGGCUGCUUAGCAUUAAUGUUUUUAACAAAAUAAUGAGUAGAGCUACAUGGCAGAUUCAAUUCUGAUUCUGUGUUAUAUGCUUGAUCUGUAGCUAUGCCUCAGCAGCUUUGCACAGCAUAGGGGCACAGAUGCUUUCUUCUUAUUGUGACUUACAUGGAUUCAAAUUGUAGGUGACAGAAAAAUGUUGGUAUUACAUGUCAAACACAAAGGCAAAUAGAAUAAAAAGGUUAUAAUCAAGCUGUAAGCUGCACGCUCUAUUCAGUCUUCUUUCUCUCUGAAAUAUGUCAACUACUAUUUCCUGAGAUAUGAGGCACUUGAUGAUUGAGAUGAUUAAAAAAUACAUCCACCCGAAGUAAGCAUCAAUUACACAAAUUUACUAAUAAGAAACAAUCAAAUAUGCCUCCACAUGAAUGCACACAACACACACACACAUAAACAGAUUGUUAUGAAUUAUUCUCCAGAUUUCUACUUGUCACUAUUUUAUUAGGUAUACAAAGAAUAUUUUAUAUAUCACUUUGCUCUGGGAUUGAGAAACUUUUGCUUUAAGGUUUUAUUUUAUUUUAUGGUUAGAAAAGAAGGGUCAUUGAACUAUUAUAAACCAGUGAUGUUUCUAGAGUUUUCCUCCAAUUUCAUCAAAGAAGGAGAAACAGAUAUAGUGACCUAACACGUAGUUUUUAGAAACUGUUGUUACAGAGUUAAGAGCUGAAACUUUCACAAGUUUUUAAAACCAACAAACAAGCACAAGAAAAUAUAAUAUUUUCUAUACAAGGUAUUCUGAUGAUAUAAUAGUUUUAUAUUCAUUCAUCUUAUUAAUCAAAGAUGGAAGUAAACAAAAGAGGUCAUAGAUGUUUUUGCUAAUAAAAAAGAGAGGGAGUUCCUUACUUUCAUUAUUUAAUGUUAAUAAUAAUCAUAAUUGGAAAAAAAAAAACCCAUAGAUUCGAAGUUAAGUGGCUUGCCCAAGGUCAGGUUUACCAAAAUAUCAUUUAUUCUAUAUUCAAAGGUCUUUCACUCAAAAGACUCAUUACCUG
rnacentral:lncRNA from 10 species